AACGAACGCUGGCGGCGUGCCUAACACAUGCAAGUCGAACGGAAUGAGGGGGCUUGCUCCUUCAUUUAGUGGCGCACGGGUGAGUAACGCGUAGAUAAUCUGCCUGAUGAUCUGGGAUAACAUCUCGAAAGGGGUGCUAAUACCGGAUAAGCCCACGGGGACUUUGGUCUUUGCGGGAAAAGGGGGGGACCUUUUGGCCUUCUGUCAUCAGAUGAGUCUGCGUACCAUUAGCUAGUUGGUAGGGUAAAGGCCUACCAAGGCUACGAUGGUUAGCUGGUUUGAGAGAAUGAUCGGCCACACUGGAACUGUGACACGGUCCAGACUCCUACGGGAGGCAGCAGUGGGGAAUUUUGCGCAAUGGGCGAAAGCCUGACGCAGCAACGCCGCGUGAGUGAUGAAGGCUUUCGGGUCGUAAAGCUCUGUCAGGGGGAAAGAAGUGUAUUGUGGCUAAUAUCCACGAUACUUGACGGUACCCCCAAAGGAAGCACCGGCUAACUCCGUGCCAGCCGCCGCAGUAA
rnacentral:rRNA from 1 species